UACGUAGGGGGCUAGCGUUGCUCGGAAUCACUGGGCGUAAAGGGUGCGUAGGCGGGUCUUUUAAGUCAGGGGUGAAAUCCUGGAGCUCAACUCCAGAACUGCCUUUGAUACUGAAGAUCUUGAGUUCGGGAGAGGUGAGUGGAAACUGCGAGUGUAGAGGUGAAAUUCGUAGAUAUUCGCAAGAACACCAGUGGCGAAGGCGGCUCACUGGCCCGAUACUGACGCUGAGGCACGAAAGCGUGGGGAGCAAACAGG
rnacentral:rRNA from 1 species